rnacentral:rRNA from 1 species
AUUUAACGCUGGCGGCAGGCCUAACACAUUCAAGUCGAGCGGAGCGGCGGACGGGUGAGUAAUGCCUAGGCAUCUGCCUGGUAGUGGUGGAUAACGUCCGGAAACGUGCGCUAAUACCGCCUACUAUCAGAUUAGCCUAUGUCGGAUUAGCUAGUUGGUGGGGUAACGGCCUACCAAGGCGACGAUCUGUCACUGGUCUGAGAGGAUGAUCAGUCACCCUGGAACUGAGAAACGGUCCAGACUCCUACGGGAUGCAGCAGUGGGGAAUAUUGGACAAUGGGCGAAAGGCUGAUCCAGUCAUGCCGCGUGUGUGAAGAAGGUCUUCGGAUUGUAAAGCACUUGAAGUUGGGAGGCGUUACCAACAGAAUAAGCACCGGCUAACUUCGUGCCAGCAGCCGCGGUAAUUC